AUUGAACGCUGGCGGCAGGCCUAACACAUGCAAGUCGAGCGGAUGAAGGGUGCUUGCUCCUGGAUUCAGCGGCGGACGGGUGAGUAAUGCCUAGGAAUCUGCCUGGUAGUGGGGGAUAACGUCCGGAAACGGGCGCUAAUACCGCAUACGUCCUGAGGGAGAAAGUGGGGGAUCUUCGGACCUCACGCUAUCAGAUGAGCCUAGGUCGGAUUAGCUAGUUGGUGGGGUAAAGGCCUACCAAGGCGACGAUCCGUAACUGGUCUGAGAGGAUGAUCAGUCACACUGGAACUGAGACACGGUCCAGACUCCUACGGGAGGCAGCAGUGGGGAAUAUUGGACAAUGGGCGAAAGCCUGAUCCAGCCAUGCCGCGUGUGUGAAGAAGGUCUUCGGAUUGUAAAGCCCUUUAAGUUGGGAGGAAGGGCAGUAAGUUAAUACCUUGCUGUUUUGACGUUACCAACAGAAUAAGCACCGGCUAACUUCGUG
rnacentral:rRNA from 1 species